AUUAAACGCUGGCGGCAUGCCUUACACAUGCAAGUCGAACGGCUGCACGGGGCAACCUGGUGGCGAGUGGCGAACGGGUGAGUAAAGCAUCGGAACGUGCCCUGGAGUGGGGGAUAACGUAGCGAAAGUUACGCUAAUACCGCAUAUUCUGUGAGCAGGAAAGCAGGGGAUCGCAAGACCUUGCGCUCUGGGAGCGGCCGAUGUCGGAUUAGCUAGUUGGUGGGGUAAAGGCCUACCAAGGCGACGAUCCGUAGCGGGUCUGAGAGGAUGAUCCGCCACACUGGGACUGAGACACGGCCCAGACUCCUACGGGAGGCAGCAGUGGGGAAUUUUGGACAAUGGGCGGAAGCCUGAUCCAGCCAUGCCGCGUGAGUGAAGAAGGCCU
rnacentral:rRNA from 1 species